rnacentral:hammerhead_ribozyme from 1 species
AUCUAGCUGACGAGUCCCGAAUAGGACGAAACGCGCGUCGAACUGGAU